UACGUAGGGGGCAAGCGUUGUCCGGAUUCAUUGGGCGUAAAGAGCGUGUAGGCGGCCAGGUAGGUCGGUUGUGAAAACUGGAGGCUCAACCUUCAGAGGUCGACCGAAACCAUCUGGCUAGAGUCCGGGAGAGGAGAGUGGAAUUCCCGGUGUAGCGGUGAAAUGCGCAGAUAUCGGGAAGAACACCCGUGGCGAAGGCGGCACUCUGGGACGGUACUGACGCUGAGACGCGAAAGCGUGGGGAGCGAACAGG
rnacentral:rRNA from 1 species